UACGAAGGGGGGCUAGCGUUGCUCGGAAUCACUGGGCGUAAAGGGUGCGUAGGCGGGUCUUUAAGUCAGAGGUGAAAGCCUGGAGCUCAACUCCAGAACUGCCUUUGAUACUGAGGAUCUCGAGUUCGGGAGAGGUGAGUGGAACUGCGAGUGUAGAGGUGAAAUUCGUAGAUAUUCGCAAGAACACCGGUGGCGAAGGCGGCUAUCUGGACAGAGUCUGACGCUGAGGCGCGAAAGCUAGGGGAGCAAACAGG
rnacentral:rRNA from 1 species